ensembl:lncRNA
AUGUGCGCAGCAGGAUGUUUGAGAGAAUUUUACUGCGCUAAACUUUGUGAUUUGAGUGUUUUCAAGUUGCUUUGUGAUAUCCAUUUAAUACCUUUACGACAAUCCGAUACAAAGUCACCUCAUAAAUACAAAAGCCAGAAACACUGUAUCUUAUGUUUUAACGUUUACCCGUCUUCUCUAGUUCCCCCCAGGCAGACGCUGAAUAGGGAUCAGAACUUUUUACAGAAUCCGAUCCGGCGAGGUCGGCCGCCACUCCGGGACGAGUACUCUCCCCCAGGGAGGGGUCACCCGGGCACAGCCCCAUUCGGCCAAGAAGACGCGUACAUGUCGCCCAGGGACAGUUCGAUGUACCAACAGGGGGAACUGCAGGGGGCAGAUCGCGGGGGGCGCCUCACGGACAGACAGGGGUACAUGGAGCCAGAUGAUCGUACGGAGUACCAAGAGGAAUAUUUUGACGGUUCACAAAGGAGAGCCACACCGGAGCCGUGCGGGGAUCCCAGGUACGAUCCAAGGCAGGAGAUUUACCCAGACGAGGCUCCUCCUGUCACAGCGCUCCACCCGGAGAGAGAUCCACUGAAGGAGUUCUACACUGCCGAAGUCAGGAGACGCGGGCGCGCUGGUCCCGAGUACCCGGCCUCGCAGCCGGUGCACCCAGAAGGCGACGGGCGGCGUUCUCUGGACGGGGAAUCCGGAAGACCCCGAAGCAUGAAUGGGGCCGGCAGGCAGGGAUCGAGCGAACCCGAGGCAAAGAGGAGGAGCUUUCCUACAUCCAUGGAGAGGGACCAGACGACUGACGGCCAUUUGUUUAAUUUCGUCAGAGAAUAUCGUCACGAAAUGAGGGAACUGUAUCGGGAGGAGCCGGCCGGGAACCCGAGGCAGAGCCGAGCAGGAAGCCUCACCUCCCAGAGACAGGUGGAAGCUAGCCGGGCCCUGUCGGACAUUCCAGAGCCGUUCAGGCGUUUCCUAAAAGGCGCCGCUAAUGAUGAGGGAUACGGUAAAAGAAAAAGAAAGAGCCGCUUCUCUGAUGCCACUGCAGAGGAGGCAGAAACCACAAUGGAGAUGUUCCGCGAGUACGGAUUUCCAGAUCCGACACCUGGCAGACGUCCUGCACCAGUCUAUGGAACUCAACACCCUGACCGCUACAGAGAACCGCAGAGCUCGCAUCGUGCUGAAAGCCACCUAAGAGAAGACUCUGAGUCAACGGGUGUCUUUGACAUGCUGAAAAACAUUGAAAUUGAAAAUGCAGAAGAGGCCGACUUCCUGAAUAACAAACUUUGCGACCUUCUGAAGGAAUUCAAGAACAAAAAAUCUGAGAAUGCUUUGCAAAAUAGCCACGGCCGAGUAGCCGUCGCCACAAACUGCAACAGCUUUGACCCGGAGCUGUCCCCAAAACAUCAGUUUGACACAACCCACAGAGAAGAUUCAGACCGCAGACGACCAGAAGAACUCUACUUUAGAGAAGAGCAGGGAGGAAGAGGCCGGCGACCGCAUGAGCAAACACCUGAGGGGCAGCUUGAUGAAUACCACCAUCCUGUACGCAGGGUGCCUGUACAGUCCAACAGAAGACAUUAUGAGGAGGUUUUUGGGUUGCCCAGCAUGCAACAUGCCAGCUAUCCGGAUGAGCCAGGACGUUAUCCUGAAAGAUUUGAAGAACCGAGGCACCCUCUAGACUUCUCACAUGCUCCCGAGGAGUUUAUGGACUCCCAAACCUCUGCACCUCCGCUCCGCAUGGAACGAGGACACAGGAUGGACAGGGGCCUUCGGUACUCCAACAACCUGGACAAAAUCACCUCCACCCUCCUGGAGCUUGUCACAAGGAAAUAAUUUACCUACAAGUUCUGUCUGCAUAUACCUCCAUAGAUAUGAUGAAACUGGUUUGCAGACAAAUGUUAUCAAACUUUCCUCUUCCCUGCAGUUGGAUUUUUUUUUAGCGUUACAUUUGGUUCUUAAACAUUAAAAAUAUUUGUCUACUGCAGCUGUCUCUGUUCUCUACCUAUAACCGUUAUCACCAGCAGCAUGUAAUAAUGCCCAUUGUGAUAGUAUUCCAUACAGUUAUUUUGAUUAAAUUCAACUCUGAAAUACAAGUUUGGUUCAGUUAAAGUUAGUCAAUGUCAUGCAGACAUUUGUGAAUUUUUUGUUCCAAUGUUAGUUUAAUAAAAAUUGUAUUAUGGGGGGGAAAUCAGUCACAGCAGUUCUACUUGUUAUUACCAGAAAUCUUCAUGUUUUAUUGUAUACUUGUUACACAUACAUGGUGUAAUUGGACUGUCACUAAACUAGUUGAUGCAAAAAUGGCAGUCUUGUAUUUUUUACUCGUUCACUUAUUUAUUUUUUACUAAUAAUACAUUAUAUGUUAAUCGAUAACACAUAACCUCAAUUUAUUUAACCAAUGUAAUGUGCUGCGGUUAGAGACUGACGCCGUUGCCCAGGGAACGUAACUUCUACGUCAUCACGUUCGUGCAUCCAACUACUUCCGGUUCAAGUUGCAGCCAUCUUGUUUCCCCCUGCUUGCUAAAUAAAAUAAAUAAUACACUGAUCCGGACUUCACUUCGAACCCGUAAAACAAA